UGGGAUGACGUCAAGUCCUCAUGGCCUUUAUGCCCAGGGCUACACACGUGCUACAAUGGGUGGUACAAAGAGAUGCCAACUCGCGAGAGCGCGCCAAUCUCAGAAAGCCAUCCUCAGUUCGGAUUGGAGUCUGCAACUCGACUCCAUGAAGUUGGAAUCGCUAGUAAUCGCGGAUCAGCACGCCGCGGUGAAUACCGGUUCCCGGGCCUU
rnacentral:rRNA from 1 species